rnacentral:ncRNA from 1 species
GGACCGGGACGGACGAACCGCUGGUAUGUCAGUUGUACCGCCAGGUGCAUGGCUGAUUGGCUACGUUCGGGAUGGAUAACCGCUGAAAGCAUCUAAGCGGGAAGCCGGCUUCAAGAUGAAUUCUCCUUAUGAGGUGCCCAGGAGAUGACUGGGUUGAUAGGCCGGAUGUGGAAGCACAGACUCAAGAUGUGUGGAGCUGACCGGUACUAAUACACCAAAGACUUACCCAC